GGGGAUAUAGCUCAGUGGUAGAGCAUGUGCUUAGCAUGCCCUGGGUUUGAUCUCCAGCGUCCCCC
rnacentral:tRNA from 1 species